rnacentral:rRNA from 1 species
GGACGAUAAUGACGGUACUUCAGAAGAAAAGCUCCGGCUAACUACGUGCCAGCAGCCGCGGUAAUACGUAGGGAGCGAACGUUGUCCGGAAUUACUGGGUGUAAAGGGUGCGUAGGCGGGUUUGCAAGUCAGAUGUGAAAUGCCGGGGCUCAACCCCGGAGCUGCAUUUGAAACUGCAGAUCUUGAGUGAGGUAGAGGUAAGCGGAAUUCCUAGUGUAGCGGUGAAAUGCGUAGAUAUUAGGAGGAACAUCGGUGGCGAAGGCGGCUUACUGGGCCUUUACUGACGCUGAGGCACGAAAGCGUGGGGAGCAAACAGGAUUAGAUACCCUGGUAGUCCACGCUGUAAACGAUGAUGACUAGGUGUGGGGGGACUGAACCCUUCCGUGCCGCAGUUAACACAAUAAGUCAUCCACCUGGGGAGUACGGCCGCAAGGUUGAAACUCGAAGGAAUUGACGGGGGCCCGCACAAGCAGUGGAGUAUGUGGUUUAAUUCGAAGCAACGCGAAGAACCUUACCAGGUCUUGACAUCGUAUGCAUAGUCUAGAGAUAGAUGAAAUCCCUUCGGGGACAUAUAGACAGGUGGUGCAUGGUUGUCGUCAGCUCGUGUCGUGAGAUGUUGGGUUAAGUCCCGCAACGAGCGCAACCCUUACCUUUUAGUUGCUACGCAAGAGCACUCUAAAGGGACUGCCGUUGACAAAACGGAGGAAGGUGGGGAUGACG